rnacentral:tRNA from 1 species
GCGCCCAUAGCUCAACGGAUAGAGCGCUUCGGUUCUAACGAAAGGGUUGGGGGUUCGAUUCCCUCUGGGCGCACCU